AAUCAUCAGCCGUUGGAUGGUUCCCGGUAUGCCGCUGCAUGCCGGGAGUAAAUGGGAAUGCGACGGGCCGGACCCAUGCCGGGCGUCCUUAUCGCAGCCGACCCCGCGACUGUAGAACGGUCAGGGUUCGCCAUCCGGGAAAGCCGAUACGUCCGGACUGUCCGCAUUCGCGGCGGCGGACAGGACCGGCCCAACCGGAAAAGCCACUGGAGCGGCAUUGUGAUCAGCCGGGGCUGGACGCCUCUAUGUCUACGAAUCGUCCACCUCUUCACGAUGCCCGCCGAUUGCGGUCACGCAAUGCGGCGCAAAAGCUCCGGGAAGGCGAGGCGGACCCGUUCGUCCCCUGAUAAGGACGUGGCGCCGUGAGCCAGGAGACCUGCCACCCUCAAGGACGCCAU
rnacentral:ncRNA from 2 species